rnacentral:rRNA from 2 species
UCUGGUGUCAGCCGCCGCGGUAAAACCAGCACCUCAAGUGGUCAGGAUGAUUGUUGGGCCUAAAGCAUCCGUAGCCGGCUCUGUAAGUUUUCGGUUAAAUCUGUACGCUCAACGUACAGGCUGCCGGGAAUACUGCAGAGCUAGGGAGUGGGAGAGGUAGACGGUACUCGGUAGGAAGGGGUAAAAUCCUUUGAUCUAUUGAUGACCACCUGUGGCGAAGGCGGUCUACCAGAACACGUCCGACGGUGAGGGAUGAAAGCUGGGGGAGCAAACCGGAUUAGAUACCCGGGUAGUCCCAGCUGUAAACUAUGCAAACUCAGUGAUGCAUUGGCUUGUGGCCAAUGCAGUGCUGCAGGGAAGCCGUUAAGUUUGCCGCCUGGGAAGUACGUACGCAAGUAUGAAACUUAAAGGAAUUGGCGGGGGAGCACCACAAGGGGUGAAGCCUGCGGUUCAAUUGGAGUCAACGCCAGAAAUCUUACCCGGAGAGACAGCAGAAUGAAGGUCAAGCUGAAGACUUUACCAGACAAGCU